rnacentral:lncRNA from 1 species
UCGAUCUCGUCGAACCCCGAAUCCCGGACGUUAGACAAAAAUAAGUGAGAUCCGUGUGCAUCGCUUAUCAAGUGCUCAGUCGAAGACUUCAAUCGAAGGUCAUCAUUGUUCCGUGCGUCAAUAAGAAAUCCUAAGAGUCAGGUGAAGACGGAAUUAGCAGCGUGAUGUUCACCAAGUACUCGACACAAGGGCUGAACUGAAAUCCUUGCCGUGCUCGUGGAUAGCGCGUCAGAGUUAGUAUGGUAAGCCGAUUUAUAUUUUGGUUAGCUUAAUUAUUGAUUUGAUGAAUAGUUUGCGUACAUAAGUAGGAAGUGGUCGUGUCACGCGAAACUCAAAGUUUUAAAAUGAUUAUUGUGUGAGGAGUGGUUAAAUGAAUAAUAUGUCUAGUGUCUUGAUCAUAUAGCUGAUAAAUACGGUUGUGGUUAUAUUAAAUGAUUAUUAAAAUGUAUCGCAAGUAAUAUGUGGUGGAUACAUAUGUCGGAUAGGUUUAAAUUGGCUCUUUGCUGAGGACUGAGGAGAAUUAAUAAUGUGAAGAAUUGAUUUAGUAAUCCAAACAAUUAUCCGAUAAGUCUGUCGUCGUUGAUUUUGUAGGAUAUUUUGGUGGUUAAACCUGAAAUGUUUGAUUAAUUGUUGACAUGUAAAAUAUGUGAGGUGUAAAAUAAAAUUAAAAUAGUUCUUUGUGAGUGAUGUGGUAUAAUUUAUAAAGCGAGUGAUAAGUUUAGAAUUUAAUUAAUUAGCUGAUAAGUUGUGUUUAGGCUAAUUGUAUUAAAUGUGUAUAGUUUGUUGUUUCGUGAUGUUUGCGUUAGAUUCGGGUAAUCUAGAAAAGCGUAACCAUUACUCUUAGUCGUACGUCGAUAACUAGUGUUUCCGUAUGAAACAGUACAACGCCUCGCCGCUAGGUGUUUAAUUCGCUAUCGCGUAGCACUAUUUAGGUUUGUAAUAUUCCCGUCUAUAUGCGUUCAUGUGCAUAAUGCAUUUCAUUCAAGUACGUGAAUUAACCACGUGAUGCGGAAGACGACCCAAGUCGACCCCAAGCGCGGGCUACUCCGCAUGGUGAUGCUGAUGGACGAACCUGCCUGAUCAAGUGCUAGGACAAGGAUGAUCGUCAAGUGGACGUCGCCUACCAAACACUAACCUAGUGUUAUUCAGGCAAGCCCCAGUACAUGCAACCCCUUCCUUAUGUUUUUAAAUAAUUUUUACAUACUUUAAGUCUAGCGAAAUGUGCAUUAGGUUUAUAGUAGUUGCUUGGAAACCCUUUGAUGCAUUGGCUACCUUGAAAUCCAUUCCUUUUAUAGAUACUUCUGGUAAAGUAUCAAAUACGAUUUACAAAAUUGCUUAGCCUUGCCUAGAGGUAAAUCUUGUGAAUAGAGAUUGUCCUUUGCGUUAAUGCUCAGGGGUUAUCCUGAGGAAGGAUGGCUUUUGCCUGCAAUAAUAUUUUUAUUGGGAGCGUGGUGGGAUCUUACUGCAAAGUUCUCUAUAAUGCUCUUUUCAUCCUAAGGAACACAAACAAUCCUAAGGAUGGAAGUACUUAAAUCGAGACUUGGUUUAGGAACAAGUGAUGUUCUACCCAGGUUGAUUAAGGAUUAUAGCGAAUGUAGGCUUGCUGAUCGAGGAUCUUUUAACUGGUCACAUGCCUCGUCAUGGGUAAGCCUUGCCUCAUGCAGACUAAUACCAGAGUAAGACAACACGCAAUGGGAGUGGAGAGAUGGCGAGAGUAGCGUGUACCCUCCAUGGCAAGAGGCUAGACGGUGGUGUAUCUGUGCUCUCGGUUGGCGUGAACCUGAUCUGGUCUUAAGAACCUCGGUGGCGAGUUGACAUAUGCAAGGGUUAAGUGCUACAUAUGUCGUGUGAUUGGAGAUCCCUAGCUGGGUAUUAAUCGAUUCGGAUUGUCGUUACUUCUCGGACAUGAAGACUUGGUCACUGCCCUGCAAUCUAAGUCAUGGAUGGAAUCAUAAUGAGCAAAAAUCGUGUGUAUUGAUUAAUGUGAUGAUGAAAUUAGACUAGAUGCAAACAAGGUCUAUUAAUACUUAAUCUAGCAUUAAAAUGUUGAAAGUAAGGACUCAUUUUAGUAAGCUUUCUGCAAACUAUUAAUGUUGAUUCUUGUUAAAAGCCUUUCCUUGAUUCCCAAAUCCAGCGUAUCCUUGAGAGUCUUUUUCCUUAGUCGGGUAAGUCUUGGUGAGUACUUGCGUACUAAGGGUUUUAUUCCCAUUGUUGCUGCAGGUCACGAGUCACUUUGAUUGUGAUUGGUGUUAAGCGCCGGUGGGCACGACCUUCUUAAAAGUCUAAGUAUUUCCUCUAUACUUUUUAUUGAGGAUUGUCACUGAGCUAGCAUAUAUUUCAAACUUAUAAAUAAUUUAUAACAUUUCAAAGUUUAUUCUUUGAACCACUUUUGUAACCACUCCGAUAAAUAUAAUGUAAAUUUGUUGCAACUUGUAAAAUUUGGUAAUAAGAUUUUCGCUGCAAAAUUGUUGGUGUGUGAUUU